rnacentral:rRNA from 1 species
CCUACGGGAGGCAGCAGUGGGGAAUAUUGCACAAUGGGGGGAACCCUGAUGCAGCAACGCCGCGUGGGUGAAGAAGUACUUCGGUAUGUAAAGCCCUGUCAGCCGGGAAGAAAAUGACGGUACCUGACCAAGAAGCCCCGGCUAACUACGUGCCAGCAGCCGCGGUAAUACGUAGGGGGCAAGCGUUAUCCGGAUUUCCUGGGUGUAACGGGCGCGUAGACGACAAGGCAAGUCUGGAGUGAAAGUCCGUGGCUCAACCACGGGACUGCUUUGGAAACGGUGUUGCUGGAGUGCAGGAGGGGUAAGCGGAAUGCCUGGUGUAGCGGUGAAAUGCGUAGAUAUUAGGAGGAACACCGGUGGCGAAGGCGGCUUACUGGACUGUAACUGACGUUGAGGCUCGAAGGCGUGGGGAGCGAACAGGAUUAGAUACCCGGGUAGUC